rnacentral:rRNA from 1 species
CUCCAGACUCCUACGGGAGGCAGCAGUGGGGAAUAUUGCACAAUGGGGGGAACCCUGAUGCAGCGACGCCGCGUGAGGGAAGAAGGUUUUCGGAUUGUAAACCUCUGUCCUCUGUGACGAUAAUGACGGUAGCAGAGGAGGAAGCCACGGCUAACUACGUGCCAGCAGCCGCGGUAAUACGUAGGGGGCGAGCGUUAUCCGGAUUCACUGGGCGUAAAGGGAGCGCAGGCGGCACGGCAAGUCCGGUGUGAAAGCCCGGGGCCCAACCCCGGGACUGCACUGGAAACUGUAUGGCUGGAGUGCAGGAGAGGUAAGUGGAAUUCCUAGUGUAGCGGUGAAAUGCGUAGAUAUUAGGAGGAACACCAGUGGCGAAGGCGGCUUACUGGACUGUAACUGACGUUGAGGCUCGAAAGCGUGGGGAGCAAACAGGAUUAGAUACCCGAGUAU